GAGAGGUAAAAAUAAAGGACUGAGGAAGAUAGAUCCCCUGGAUUAUGAUGUCCUGAUUGGAGCUGUCUGCGAGCACCAUCACUGGACACUAACUGUGAUGUAUCCUAAAAAGAGGCAGUCCCUUUAUGUUGAUCCAUUUGGGGCUAGCGAGGAAGCAUUAAAAAAAUGCACUGCAGUAACCAGGGCUUUCAUGAGGCAGCGGGGCCACAACUGCUCACGCUGGUCCAGUCAAACAGUACCAC